rfam:Entamoeba invadens IP1 unplaced genomic scaffold scaff_1105074724669, whole genome shotgun sequence.
AAUCGAACUAUCUAGUAGCUGGUUCCACCUGAAUAUUCCCUUAGGAAGGUUGAAGUGAGGAAGUAGUGACGAUUGGUAAAGAUGAUGAUUGGACAUGAUGGACAGUUUGAUUUUUCUACAUCUUAACAAACUAUGGAUAGUCGAGAUAUUCCAAACGAUAAUAAUUUAUUAGGAGUGAGCAUAUGGGAAUUCAAAUCGACCAAGUCUGGUAAGCAGGACUGGCGAUGCGGGAUGAACCGAACAUACAGAUAUAAUAUCCAAGGCUUGCAUGAGGAGAACCAUAAAAGGUAUUCUUUCAUAUUGACUCCAGGUUAAUGGCUAUGGAAGUUGGAAAUCGCUAAGGAGUGUGUAACAACUCAUUUAUCGAAUGGAUGAGCUUUUAAAUAGAAGGUAUUAUAAUGAGAGAGAGUGAUACUGUAUCCUUGUGGAGGCUGAGGCACACGAGGAGUAAGGAAAUGCAUGGUGUCAAGAAUACGGGAGUGAUAAAGGUAAAGAAAUAAUUUUUAUUGAAACAGACUUGAGUACAGAUCUUGGUGGAAGUAGCAAAUACUUAUAAGAAAAAAACAUUCAAGGAUC